CGGCUCGGGCCGGCGCGUCGGCGGGGGCUCCCCAUCCUCCCUCCCUGCCUGCCUCCCCCCCUCCUUGCCUACCUCCCCCCUCCCUCCCUGCCUGUCUCCCCCCGCGCCCCGAGCCGCGCCGAGCCGUGCCGAGCCGAGCCUGCGGCGGGCGGGCGCGCUCAGACACACGUAGGCUGCCAGAGUAUGCCGUGGGGCAGCGCCAAAGUAUGCAAAGGAAAAAUGCUAUUAGCUCAUCAGCGCUGGAGAGACUAAAAACGGGGUGACGGGGAGGGGGAAGGGGCCGCUGGCGAGAGAGGAAACAUGUUUCUGGAAAAUGUGCUGGCCGGCACAUCUCCCGGGCUGGAGCAGCUGCUGGGGACCUUCGUCUCAGCGCUGAGUAACGGUCGGAUCCCCUUAAUGACCUCUUAAUUAGAAGAAAACCUCCAUCAAAUAAACUCUUGACUAUUGACUUUUGGAUUUUGUGCGUAUGAGUCACACGAGAAAUAUACUGGCGAUGCUCCUCCCGGAGUAAGUUUUCAUUGAAAAGUGAAAUUUCACAUGGGAGAGGCUUAGCCCCGUCACCAGAACAAAUAAACCGAGUUCGGGCAGUGUCUCCCCAAAAUCGUGCUGGGGAAGAAGAGCAGACUGUGGCCUGAAAGCCUCUCCCUCCCUUCCUGCUUUUACAAGAGUUCAUCAAGGCUAUGUUUUGAUAAGUCCAAUCACCCACCAAGGCAAAAGAAUUAAGGUCCAUGGAUUUCCGCCAAAACUCCUUUUGGUUGUAUUUUUCCAAGGGCUGUUUGCUUAUGAAUCCUUGCACAGGAACUGAGAAAAAUACACAAAAGUUCUCCUUCACCAGAAGUGUGGUGGUGAGGAUAUUUCUUAAGUGAUUCCUGUCAGAGAUGAUCAGCCCGAGGUUGGAGGUUUUUACCCUACUCAGGUAGAUUCAAGGCACCUUCCAACUGCCGGCCUCCCCAGAUCAGGUUAAUAAACUAUCUGUUAUUGGCCAGGUGGAUAUCUGCCACUACAUUUUGUUGUUCUCCUGUCAUUUGUUGUAUUGUAGUUUAUUUUAAUUGCAUAUUACUUUAAAUGGUUCACAUUUAAUAAUUGAAAACCAGCAAAAUGCAAUCCUACAUUGUGGCUGUGAUGGACUGUGAAUGCUGAUUUACACUGCUGUUGAAUUAUUAGUGUUAGCUCUUGUCUUUAAAGCACUUUUACCACCCUGAAAUCAGUGAUGCCACCCUGAGUGUCAAAGUUCUUCCCGCAAACAGGUGGGCUAUUAGCAGUGGCCAGUGCCUGGCACCAGCUGCUCAGCGGACCAAGCUUGCUUGCUCUGGUCUCCACCUUAGGAGAUAAGUGUUCAGCCCUGUGGACUUCAUUUCCCUGCAGUCACCCAAACAACCAGGAGGAUUAAAAUCACUGGGAAAUCAGCAGUUAACUGAAAAAAUUCUCGAUCUGGAGAAUUCUGAGGAACACAGGGAGGUUGCCCAUUUAUACCAAGUUUUUACAUCACGAGUCUGUCUAGACCAUCAAAAAGUCCAACUCUGUGACCUGAGGAUCUGACAGCAUUGUGAAGAAAAGCAUUUACAGGACCUGAGACAGCUGUUGCUGUUUUCUUGUGUGAGAGCUGAAGACAAAGCCUUCUGAUGUCAACGGACUUUUUGUUAAAUUGUGGAUUUGCAAUAAGGUUUUAAUAGCAAUAUUUUUUAAACCUUGAGUAUUGACAUGUUGUUAAAUCUGAAUAUGAGUGGCUUCACGGGAUGCAGUGGCAUAGUUUCUUUCUUGAACCUAGACUUUAAAACA